rnacentral:rRNA from 1 species
UACGUAGGGCGCAAGCGUUGUCCGGAAUCAUUGGGCGUAAAGAGCUCGUAGGCGGCCUGUUGCGUCCGCUGUGAAAGUCCAGGGCUCAACCCUGGAAUGCCGGUGGAAACUGUCAAGCUUGAGUCCGGAAGAGGCGAGUGGAAUUCCUGGUGUAGCGGUGAAAUGCGCAGAUAUCAGGAGGAACACCAAUGGCGAAGGCAGCUCGCUGGGACGGUACUGACGCUGAGACGCGAAAGCGUGGGGAGCAAACAGG